GGGAGCGGCGGAGCGGCGAGAUGCGGCAGUCCCGGGCCGCGGGGCUGGCCGCGGUGUUCCUGGCAGUGGCUGUGAGCAGAGCUCAGGUGCAGCAGGAGCCGUCGGCAGAGACCACUGAGGACACCGGCAUCAACAUCACCUGCUCACACCCCAGCAUACAGCCCGGAGAUUACAUCCACUGGUACCGUCAGCUCCCGAGCCGAGGUCUCACAUUCCUCGUCAGCGCCGUUAAAGGCUCCAAGGAAGUGCCGGACCCGGAGGGGCAGCUGUCGGUGUCAGCAGAUCGCCGCUCCAGCGCCCUGUGGCUCGCCCGGCCCCGGCUCGGCGACGCGGCCGUGUAUUACUGCGCGUUGGUAGCACGGGGAUUCGAGCCGGGGCUGCGGCCGGGCACGAACUGCUUUGGGUGGGGCGGGGGCACAGUGCCGUCCGGGCCCGCAGGGGGCGCUGCCUGCAUGGCCGACAAACUCCAUCCUGACCAGGGUGCUCCUCCAUGA